CCUACGGGUGGCAGCAGUGAGGAAUAUUGGUCAAUGGACGAGAGUCUGAACCAGCCAAGUAGCGUGAAGGAUGACUGCCCUAUGGGUUGUAAACUUUUUUUAUAUGGGAAUAAAAUGUUCCACGUGUGGGAUUUUGUAUGUACCAUAUGAAUAAGGACCGGCUAACUCCGUGCCAGCAGCCGCGGUAAUACGGAGGGUCCGAGCGUUAUCCGGAUUUAUUGGGUUUAAAGGGAGCGUAGGUGGAUUGUUAAGUCAGUUGUGAAAGUUUGCGGCUCAACCGUAAAAUUGCAGUUGAAACUGGCAGUCUGGAGUGCAGUAGAGGUGGGCGGAAUUCGUGGUGUAGCGGUGAAAUGCUUAGAUAUCACGAAGAACUCCGAUUGCGAAGGCAGCUCACUGGACUGCAACUGACACUGAGGCUCGAAAGUGUGGGUAUCAAACAGGAUUAGAUACCCGAGUAGUC
rnacentral:rRNA from 1 species